GACAGAAUUGGUUCAGUACCAUCCUGAACCAGUCUAAACUGAUCAAACCAACAAAAGGGCCAUCAGCAGGGCUGCUAAGUGGGGGGCACAAGCACUAGCCCAUGUGGACUAUGGGCCCAGUUCAAAUCUGGGUUAAAGCAGGGUUAGGUUGGGUUGCAAAGGCACGAACCAGGCCCAAAUCAUAGGGUCGGGCUCUGGACUGGCCUGCAUGUGCAAUCACAUAGCCAACAUGUGCACAUACAUAAGUGUUCCCUAAACAUGUAAUGCAUCUAAUCAUGAUAAAAUAAAUAAAUAAAUAAAUAGAUAGAUAGAUAAAUAAAGCCCACGACAUAGCUAACCAGGCCCUAAGCAUCCCCUUUGUUCGUGAUUUGUUAGCUUAUUAUAAAAUGUUUGACUCACCUCACACGGCCAAAGAAUUCCCAAGAUAAAGAAACAUCACAAGUGUCUGAUAUAAUCAAAGCAUUUUUCUAUGCAUGUGAUGUGUAUGCUUAGGAUAAAAAGCAUAUGUCAAAUGCAACCAAUGCAUCUCUUUUACACGUGAUACAUUUGCUUAGGAUAAAGAAGCAUCUGAAGCUCCCGAGGCAACCAAAGUGUCUUCUUAGCAUGUGAUGCAUUCGUCUAGGAAAGAAAAAAACAUAUGAAAUGCUUGAUCCAACCGACUAUGCCUAAAGCUUCCUCUUUGCAUGUGAUGUGUUUCCCUAGGACAAAAAACUUUAAAGUGCUUGACAUGACCUAAGCAUUCCCUUUACUCAUGAUGCAUCCAUCUAGGAUAAGAAAACAUAUGAAGGGUCCAACUCAAUAGAAACAUCUCAUUUGUAUUUGAUGCUUGGAUAAAAAAUCAUCUAAAGCAUCUAAUAUAAUCAUAUCAUCCCCUUGCAUUUGAUGCAUCUGCCCAGUAUAAAAAAAGUAUUUAAAAUGUUUAACAUUGUCAACCAAACCCAAAGUAUCCCAUUUGCACGUCAUACGUUCGUUUAGGACAAAAAAAUCUAAAGUAUUCUACAUGAUCAUAGUGUGUCAUUAGUGAGUGAUGCGUUUGCCGUAAAAAAAAAAGCUUCCUAAGUGCUCAAUGUGGUUGGUUAGCUUGAAAGCAUCACUUCUGGACAUGAUACUUUUAUAUAAGAUAGAAAAAAGCUCAAUGUGACCAAAGUGUCAACUUUGCAUAUCAAAAAAAUAUUUAAAUCAUCUAAUGGAACUAAAGUAUCCCCUUUGCACAUGAUAUUUUUGUUAAAGUUAAAAAAGUAACCAAGGUGUCUAUCAUGAUCAAAGCAUCCUUUUUGCGCAUGAUGUGUGCGCCUCAGUUAAAGAAGUAUCUAGAACAUCUUAUGAAAUCAUAAUGUCCUCUAUAUACUUGAUGUAUCCACCUAAGACAAAGAAGUAUCUAAAGCCUCCGAUGCAAUCAAAGUAUCGCUUUGUGCGUGAUUCGUUUACUCAAGACAAAAAAAAAAUUAAGAAUCUGACAUGAUCAAAGUGUCACCUUAGAUGUGAUCAAAGUAUCAUCUUUUGUGCAAGAUACAUCCACUUAGAAGAAACAAGACAUCAUAGCUCCCAACAUGACAAAAGCAUCCCAUUUGUGAGUGAUGUGUUUGCCCUAGACAAAAAAACAUCUGAACCACCUAAUGCUCAUAACACAUUCCAUGAUGUAAAAACAUUUCAUGACUUUUGAGUUUCACAACCAAAACAUCCCCUUCUACUUUCUACAUUAGCCUAGUACAAGAUAUAAUACCACCUAAUCAUCUUAGAAUAUAGGUAAUAGAUCCCAAAAUAUAUACUAUGCUCUAUAACAUAUAAGCUUAUAACCAAGCACGGAUAGAGGACAAAUAAUAUGACUAUUAUAUUUAACCAAUUUUGACAUAAUAUAUGGAGUCUAAUCAGUACUUGCUGCAUGUGCCACAUCAGAUUUUCAAAUAGCCUAAUGGAUAUGCUAUAUUAGCACAUCAUCUAAAGAGAAUAAGUUACUAUAUAAGGCAGCUUCUAUAGGGUUGUCGAAUUUUUGUCGGAGUUGACUUGGAUACGAGAAAACUAUAAAUAUAAAGGGAGGAGGGCAGUGAAUCCUAAUCUUUUCCAUACUAUGGCUGACUGGUCCAAUCUUCACUUGGAUGUCCUAAACCUCAUCUUUUCUGAGCUCUCCUUACCCGACCUCCUUCGUUGUACUGUUGUAUGUGCCGCAUGGUUAUGCGCCAUCCACGAUCUUCGUCGAUGCUGCCCCAAGCUUCACCACCAGAGCCCUUGGCUCGCAUUCUGUGGUAGUGGUGGCAACAAAGGUAGUGCCUCUGAUGACCCUUUCGCUGCCCACUUCUUUAGCCUCUCAGAGCAGAAGGUUUACACCAUCCCCCUCCCAGGACCUCUGAUCCGUUAUCGCCUCUUCGUGGGUUCCUCCCAUGGGUGGCUGAUCACCAUCGACAAACAGUUAAAGAUACAACUAUUGAACCCCAUCAAUGGUGCACAGAUCAACAUCCCUUCCAUCCUCACCUAUGAUCACAUUGGGCACAUCCCCGACCCG
rnacentral:lncRNA from 1 species